rnacentral:rRNA from 1 species
GUCGUGGAGAGGGAAACAACCCAGACCGCCAGCUAAGGUCCCAAAGUAUUGCUAAGUGGGAAACGAUGUGGGAAGGCUCAGACAGCUAGGAUGUUGGCUUAGAAGCAGCCAUCAUUUAAAGAAAGCGUAAUAGCUCACUAGUCGAGUCGGCCUGCGCGGAAGAUGUAACGGGGCUAAGCAAUACACCGAAGCUGCGGCAAUGUCUUUUAGACAUUGGGUAGGGGAGCGUUCUGUAAGCCGUUGAAGGUGAAUCGUAAGGUUUGCUGGAGGUAUCAGAAGUGCGAAUGCUGACAUGAGUAACGACAAAGGGGGUGAAAAACCUCCUCGCCGGAAGACCAAGGGUUCCUGUCCAACGUUAAUCGGGGCAGGGUGAGUCGACCCCUAAGGUGAGGCCGAAAGGCGUAAUCGAUGGGAAACGGGUUAAUAUUCCCGUACUUCUGACUAUUGCGAUGGGGGGACGGAGAAGGCUAGGUGGGCCAGGCGACGGUUGUCCUGGUUCAAGUGCGUAGGCUUGAGAGUUAGGUAAAUCCGGCUCUCUCUAAGGCUGAGACACGACGUCGAGCUACUACGGUAGUGAAGUCAUUGAUGCCAUGCUUCCAGGAAAAGCCUCUAAGCUUCAGAUAGUCAGGAAUCGUACCCCAAACCGACACAGGUGGUCGGGUAGAGAAUACCAAGGCGCUUGAGAGAACUCGGGUGAAGGAACUAGGCAAAAUGGUACCGUAACUUCGGGAGAAGGUACGCUCUUGAUGGUGAAGUCCCUCGCGGAUGGAGCUGACGAGAGUCGCAGAUACCAGGUGGCUGCAACUGUUUAUUAAAAACACAGCACUGUGCAAAAUCGCAAGAUGACGUAUACGGUGUGACGCCUGCCCGGUGCCGGAAGGUUAAUUGAUGGGGUUAGCGCAAGCGAAGCUCUUGAUCGAAGCCCCGGUAAACGGCGGCCGUAACUAUAACGGUCCUAAGGUAGCGAAAUUCCUUGUCGGGUAAGUUCCGACCUGCACGAAUGGCGUAAUGAUGGCCACGCUGUCUCCACCCGAGACUCAGUGAAAUUGAAAUCGCUGUGAAGAUGCAGUGUACCCGCGGCUAGACGGAAAGACCCCGUGAACCUUUACUACAGCUUGGCACUGAACAUUGAACCUACAUGUGUAGGAUAGGUGGGAGGCUAUGAAGACGUGACGCCAGUUGCGUUGGAGCCGUCCUUGAAAUACCACCCUUGUAUGUUUGAUGUUCUAACUUAGACCCAUUAUCUGGGUUGAGGACAGUGCCUGGUGGGUAGUUUGACUGGGGCGGUCUCCUCCCAAAGAGUAACGGAGGAGCACGAAGGUGGGCUAAUCACGGUUGGACAUCGUGAGGUUAGUGCAAUGGCAUAAGCCCGCUUAACUGCGAGAAUGACGGUUCGAGCAGGUGCGAAAGCAGGUCAUAGUGAUCCGGUGGUUCUGUAUGGAAGGGCCAUCGCUCAACGGAUAAAAGGUACUCCGGGGAUAACAGGCUGAUACCGCCCAAGAGUUCAUAUCGACGGCGGUGUUUGGCACCUCGAUGUCGGCUCAUCACAUCCUGGGGCUGAAGUCGGUCCCAAGGGUAUGGCUGUUCGCCAUUUAAAGUGGUACGCGAGCUGGGUUUAGAACGUCGUGAGACAGUUCGGUCCCUAUCUGCCGUGGGCGUUGGAAGAUUGAAGGGGGCUGCUCCUAGUACGAGAGGACCGGAGUGGACGAACCUCUGGUGUUCGGGUUGUGUCGCCAGACGCAUUGCCCGGUAGCUAAGUUCGGAAUUGAUAAGCGCUGAAAGCAUCUAAGCGCGAAGCGAGCCCUGAGAUGAGUCUUCCCUGACAGUUUAACUGUCCUAAAGGGUUGUUCGAGACUAGAACGUUGAUAGGCAGGGUGUGUAAGCGUUGUGAGGCGUUGAGCUAACCUGUACUAAUUGCCCGUGAGGCUUAACCAU